UACGGAGGGUGCAAGCGUUGUCCGGAUUUAUUGGGUUUAAAGGGUGCGUAGGCGGCCCUGUAAGUCAGUGGUGAAAGCCUCCAGCUCAACUGGAGAACUGCCAUUGAUACUGCAGGGCUUGAGUACAGACGAGGUUGGCGGAAUUGAUUGUGUAGCGGUGAAAUGCAUAGAUACAAUCAAGAACUCCGAUUGCGUAGGCAGCUAACUAGGCUGUAACUGACGCUGAGGCACGAAAGCGUGGGGAGCGAAC
rnacentral:rRNA from 1 species